GUUGGUGAACCAGCGGAGGGAUCAUUACCGAGUUUUCAACUCCCAAACCCUUAUGUGAACCUACCUAUCGUUGCUUCGGCGGACUCGCCCCAGCCGGACGCGGACUGGACCAGCGGCCGCCGGGGACCAUCAAACUCUUGUAUUAUCAGCAUCUUCUGAAUACGCCGCAAGGCAAAACAAAUAAAUUAAAACUUUCAACAACGGAUCUCUUGGCUCUG
rnacentral:misc_RNA from 1 species